UUCUAAGGGCGUUGAAGCAUGAUCGCAAGGACAUGUGGAGCGCUUAGAAGUGAGAAUGCCGGUGUGAGUAGCGAAAGACGGGUGAGAAUCCCGUCCACCGAUUGACUAAGGUUUCCAGAGGAAGGCUCGUCCGCUCUGGGUUAGUCGGGUCCUAAGCUGAGGCCGACAGGCGUAGGCGAUGGAUAACAGGUUGAUAUUCCUGUACCACCAUUAUUCGUUUUAAGCGAUGGGGGGACGCAGUAGGAUAGGCGAAGCGUGCUGUUGGAGUGCACGUCCAAGCAGUGAGAUUGAGUGUUAGGCAAAUCCGGCACUCUUAAGAUUGAGCUGUGAUGGGGAGAGGAACUUGUUCCUCGAGUCGUUGAUUUCACACUGCCGAGAAAAGCCUCUAGCUAGAAUAACGGUGCCCGUACCGCAAACCGACACAGGUAGUCAAGAUGAGAAUUCUAAGGUGAGCGAGCGAACUCUCGUUAAGGAACUCGGCAAAAUGACCCCGUAACUUCGGGAGAAGGGGUGCUCUUUGAGGUUCACGCUUCGAAGAGCCGCAGUGAAUAGGCCCAAGCGACUGUUUAUCAAAAACACAGGUCUCUGCUAAACCGUAAGGUGACGUAUAGGGGCUGACGCCUGCCCGGUGCUGGAAGGUUAAGAGGAGUGGUUAGCGCAAGCGAAGCUACGAAUCGAAGCCCCAGUAAACGGCGGCCGUAACUAUAACGGUCCUAAGGUAGCGAAAUUCCUUGUCGGGUAAGUUCCGACCCGCACGAAAGGCGUAACGAUUUGGGCACUGUCUCAACGAGAGACUCGGUGAAAUCAUAGUACCGGUGAAGAUGCCGGUUACCCGCGACAGGACGGAAAGACCCCGUGGAGCUUUACUGUAGCCUGAUAUUGAAAUUCGGUACAGUUUGUACAGGAUAGGUAGGAGCCUUAGAAGCGUGAGCGCUAGCUUACGUGGAGGCAUUGGUGGGAUACUACCCUAAUUGUAUUGGAUUUCUAACCCGCAGCACUUAUCGUGCUGGGAGACAGUGUCAGGCGGGCAGUUUGACUGGGGCGGUCGCCUCCUAAAGAGUAACGGAGGCGCUCAAAGGUUCCCUCAGAAUGGUUGGAAAUCAUUCAUAGAGUGUAAAGGCAUAAGGGAGCUUGACUGCGAGACCUACAAGUCGAGCAGGGUCGAAAGACGGACUUAGUGAUCCGGUGGUUCCGCAUGGAAGGGCCAUCGCUCAACGGAUAAAAGCUACCCCGGGGAUAACAGGCUUAUCUCCCCCAAGAGUUCACAUCGACGGGGAGGUUUGGCACCUCGAUGUCGGCUCAUCGCAUCCUGGGGCUGUAGUCGGUCCCAAGGGUUGGGCUGUUCGCCCAUUAAAGCGGUACGCGAGCUGGGUUCAGAACGUCGUGAGACAGUUCGGUCCCUAUCCGUCGUGGGCGUAGGAAAUUUGAGAGGAGCUGUCCUUAGUACGAGAGGACCGGGAUGGACAUACCUCUGGUGUACCAGUUGUCGUGCCAACGGCAUAGCUGGGUAGCUAUGUAUGGACGGGAUAAGUGCUGAAAGCAUCUAAGCAUGAAGCCCCCCUCGAGAUGAGAUUUCCCAACUUCGGUUAUAAGAUCCCUCAAAGAUGAUGAGGUGAAUAGGUUCGAGGUGGAAGCGUAGUGAUACGUGGAGCUGACGAAUACUAAUCGAUCGAAGACUUAAUCAA
rnacentral:rRNA from 1 species